rnacentral:rRNA from 1 species
UACGUAGGGUGCAAGCGUUGUCCGGAAUUAUUGGGCGUAAAGAGCUCGUAGGCGGUCUGUCGCGUCGGAUGUGAAAACCCAGGGCUCGACCCUGGGCCUGCAUUCGAUACGGGCAGACUAGAGUUCGGUAGGGGAGACUGGAAUUCCUGGUGUAGCGGUGAAAUGCGCAGAUAUCAGGAGGAACACCGGUGGCGAAGGCGGGUUGCUGGGCUGAUACUGACGCUGAGGCGCGAAAGCCAGGGGAGCGAACGGG